UACGAAGGGGGCGAGCGUUGUUCGGAUUUACUGGGCGUAAAGGGCGCGUAGGCGGCCUUGUCAGUCAGGCGUGAAAGCCCCGGGCUCAGCCUGGGAACGGCGCUUGGGACGGCGAGGCUGGAGUUCGGGAGAGGAGAGUGGAAUUCCCAGUGUAGAGGUGAAAUUCGUAGAUAUUGGGAAGAACACCGGUGGCGAAGGCGGCUCACUGGCUCGUAACUGACGCUCAUGCACGACAGCGUGGGGAGCAAACAGG
rnacentral:rRNA from 1 species